CCCAUUUUGUUGGUUUCUGAGAUCGCCGUAAUGAUUAAUAGGGAUAGUUGGGGCAUUUGUAUUCCGUCGUCAGAGGUGAAAUUCUUGGAUUGCCGGAAGACAAACUACUGCGAAAGCAUUUGCCAAGGAUGUUUUCAUUGAUCAAGAACGAAGGAAGGGGGAUCGAAAACGAUCAGAUACCGUUGUAGUCUCUUCUGUAAACUAUGCCAAUUGGGGAUUAGCACAGGAUUUUCAAUGACUGUGUUAGCACCCGAAGAGAAAUCUUUAAAUGAGGUUCGGGGGGGAGUAUGGUCGCAAGGCUGAAACUUAAAGGAAUUGACGGAAGGGCACCACCAGGUGUGGAGCCUGCGGCUUAAUUUGACUCAACACGGGGAAACUCACCAGGUCCAGACACAAUAAGGAUUGACAGAUUGAUAGCUCUUUCUUGAUCUUGUGGUUGGUGGUGCAUGGCCGUUCUUAGUUGGUGGAGUGAUUUGUCUGGUUAAUUCCGAUAACGAACGAGACCUUAACCUGCUAAAUAGACCAGUCGACUUUGGUUGACUGCUGUCUUCUUAGAGGGACUAUCAGCGUUUAGCUGAUGGAAGUUUGAGGCAAUAACAGGUCUGUGAUGCCCUUAGAUGUUCUGGGCCGCACGCGCGCUACACUGACAGAGCCAGCGAGUCUUUUUCCUUGCCGGAAGGCAUGGUAAUCUUGUNACUCNUNG
rnacentral:rRNA from 1 species